rnacentral:misc_RNA from 1 species
GAUGAAGAACGUAGUGAAAUGCGAUAAGUAAUGUGAAUUGCAGAAUUCAGUGAAUCAUCGAAUCUUUGAACGCACAUUGCGCCCCUUGGUAUUCCGAGGGGCAUGCCUGUUCGUGCGUCAUAUUAACCACUCCCGCUUGCGGGGUCUUGGGCUUCGCCUCCGGGCGGGCCUUAAAAUCAGUGGCGGUGCCGUCGGGCUCUACGCGUAGUAAAUUUUCUCGCGAUAGGGUCCCGGUGGAUGCUUGCCAACAACCCCCAACUUCUUAAGGUUGACCUCGGAUCAGGUAGGGAUACCCGCUGAACUUAAGCAUAUCAAUAAGCGGAGGA